AGAGGAAUGGCUGGGCCAAAUGGUGGUUUAAUUCCCAUAUUUCCAAGGAACCUCCAUACUACUUUCCAUAUUGGCUGCAUCAAUUUGCAGUCCCAUCAGCAAU
rnacentral:pre_miRNA from 1 species